rnacentral:rRNA from 1 species
GACGAACGCUGGCGGCGUGCCUAAUACAUGCAAGUUGAGCGCUGAAGGUUGGUACUUGUACCAACUGGAUGAGCAGCGAACGGGUGAGUAACGCGUGGGGAAUCUGCCUUUGAGCGGGGGACAACAUUUGGAAACGAAUGCUAAUACCGCAUAAAAACUUUAAACACAAGUUUUAAGUUUGAAAGAUGCAAUUGCAUCACUCAAAGAUGAUCCCGCGUUGUAUUAGCUAGUUGGUGAGGUAAAGGCUCACCAAGGCGAUGUUACAUAGCCGACCUGAGAGGGUGGGCGGCCAGAUUGGGACGGAGACACGGCCCAAACGCCUACGGGAGGCAGCAGUAGGGAAUCGUGGGCAAUGGGCGAAAGUCUGACCGAGCAACGCGGCGUGAGUGAAGAAGGUUUUCGGAUCGUAAAACUCUGUUGGUAGAGAAGAACGUUGGUGAGAGUGGAAAGCUCAUCAAGUGACGGUAACUACCCAGAAAGGGACGGCUAACUACGUG